UUCUAUUGGAGAAUAAAGCUUGAUGAUGAGGACAAAGUGGAAAAUUUGUUCUGGAUAGAUGGUGCGUCGCGCAGGACAUAUGCUAGAUACAAUGAUGUCAUCUCAUUCGACACAACAUACAUGACAAACAUGUACAAAAUUCCCUGUGCGCCCUUCAUUGGCAUUAAUAACCAUGACCAGUCAAUCCAGUUUGGUUGUGGGUUUGUUCGAAACAAACUAUCUGGUAACUUUGUGUGGCUGUUUAAUGCAUUCUUGCAUGCAAUGGGUGGAAUUGCGCCGAAGAACAUAAUAACAGAUCAAGAUUUUGCAAUGAGGAGUGCUAUUGAUGAGGUGUUCAUCGGGAUAGUACACGGGAAUUGCCGCUGGCAUAUAAUGAAAAAAGCACAGGAGAAGCUUGGGAAGCUGAUGGCUGACGAUGAGCCACUAAAUAAUGCAUUCAAGGAUUGUGUUGACAACAGCCUGACUGGUAUUUUACUUCCCACCCUCACUAACUUAAAACACAAGAAAAUGGGUUUACAUGCAUGA
rnacentral:rRNA from 1 species